AAUAAGGAAAAGACUUUCUCCAGGUAGUGUAUUAGAGCAGAGCAGAAUGCAGGGGUUACUGUGUUGAACAAAAGGCACACAUCAGAGAGACAGUUGCAAACUCAGAAUACUGCGUUAUGGGCAAAACUAACUGGUCCACAAGAGAAAAUGAGAGACUCGAUUUGGCUGCCAGGAACACCUGGGCCUAGGCAAGAACACAAGAGGUUUCUGGGGGUGGGGAGGAAAUAGGUCUCGCUGAAGGUGACAGAUCCCUUGGGGGGCGGCCAGCUGUCUGGAUCACUGUCCAGGGACUGUGGCCAGCCCAGAUACCUCCGAGGUGAGUCCAGAUCACUAGGAGCAGCAGUCUGUCGGUGGGAUGCGAUGGAUGGCGAUGGCUGUGGCAGCGCAGGUCUGUGGGCAGAAUGAUGUAGUCGUCUGGCAGUCUGGUGGGGAGGAGAGGGCUUGGCAGCGGCGGCAGUGGGUGGUCUGUCCAGUGUGUAACAGGAGCCCAGCUUGCAGCUGGAGCGCAGGACAGCGUCCAAAUGUACAUGGGAGGGGCUGGCUGGCUGGAAGGAGAGGGCGGCGGCUCGCUCCAGAGUGAGGCCCAGGGGCGGCAGCAGGAGCCUGGAGCGCUAUUCCUGGAACAAAGGCAAGCACUACGCGGGAGGGAACAGGAGCGCAGGGGACAUCGCGGCGGCUCGAGGGGGAGGGAGGCGCGGAGGGAGGGCGCCGGUGGCGACCCUGGCGGCGGCCAGUAACACAGCGGACCCUCCCCAGAGCACCCGCCCCCAGGCCCGAGGGUCUCCCGGCCUAGAAGUCCUCGUCCUCCUCCCAUCCAAAGACUCGCUUCAUCUCGGCCAGAAAGCCCCGGUAAUCAUUGAGGAGGGGGCUCUCCUUCUUGAUGUAGGGGAUCACCCACUGCAGGGCGGGCCCUGUGAGGCGGGUGAUGAGGAACGUCACCUUCAGGGCGUCGCUGGAGAACGUGUUCUCGUCCACGAACAUGUAGGAGCCCGUCUGCACGAUGAACUCCGGGAGUCGGUCGGUAUCGCCGUCAAACGUCUCGGGAAAGGGAAUCGGGUUCCUCCAGCGACGCGUCGCAGGCCGGAUCGGCAAGGCCAGGAGGGCCUUUAUCAGCUGCACCCGACCGUCCAUCGCUGCUCCUCGCUUCGCUGGA
rnacentral:lncRNA from 1 species